CUAUAAGUCAGAAACCCUAAUGACGCGAUAUAAAUAGGUUCUCAUAGCCUCACUUCUCACUUCGUCAGUUCCUCUCUCUCUCUUCCGCCUCUCUUCCUCCAGACCUCCAUGGCUCCAUCACACAGGCACAUCGCACACAUACCAUCACACUUCGUCAGUUGAUGUCGUCGUCACCGGCGCUAUCAACUAUAUUAUCGAGUGAUGGGUUCGUCAACACCAUCUUCUAGGUCCAGAUCGACCAUCUUCGGCAGAAGCUUAGGUCGAGUACAGGGCCGACGAGAUCGGAAGAGUCCGGCAUCCCCAAUGAAUAUCUUCGUAGAAAGAAUGAGAAGCUCAUGUUGUCUGUUCCUUGGCAAUAUGGAGGAUUGAAGGCAUAGAGCUUUACAGUUGAUUGAAACUGGAGCUGAUGAAGAUGAGUCAGAGGGCUCAUAUUCAGAAUGCAAUGGUGUUUUUGUGAGUGUGCUGAGCUGAAUCCUGAAUCAACUGAAGAAAAUGAAGAAGAAGAGCAUAAUUGAGUUUUUAGUGCUGACCAGUUGGAAGAUGAGGCAACAGG